GAACACAAACCUCCAGGGGGGAAUGCACUGCAAAAUCCCUGCCGUGACAGUUCCCUGAGCAAGGUGACCUGCAGCCGUAUCUGUCAGUAAAAGCAGGGGAGCCUGCCUCACCCAGCUCCCAGAGCACAGAGGAAGAUGAAGGCAGCUGCACUCAGCCUCGUGAUGCUCCUCGCUGCCCUGUGCUGCACAGUGGAAGCUCAGCCACUUGUGCAAGUGCCGGACUCGGAAGUUGUUGUGCAACCUCCACCUGUCGCCGUUGACAUUCCUGGUCCUGUCGUGCUCAGCGGAGGAGAGGAGAAUCCCCCACGUGUGAGGCGCGUGGCCCUGCAUGUCUAGGGACAAGGCUUCUCUUCACCAAUGAUGCCCUCUGACAUCCUCUGAUGACCACUGCUGCCCUCUGAUGACCAAUGUUGCCCCCUGAUGACCAAUGAAGACCCUGAUGAUUAACGACACCCUCUGAUGAUCA